rnacentral:rRNA from 1 species
UUCGGGGGUACUCGAGCGGCGAACGGGUGAGUAACACGUGAGUAAUCUGCCCUUGGCUUCGGGAUAGCCACCGGAAACGGUGAUUAAUACCGGAUACGACACAUCACUGCAUGGUGCGUGUGUGGAAAGUUUUUUCGGCCAGGGAUGUGCUCGCGGCCUAUCAGCUUGUUGGUGGGGUAAUGGCCUACCAAGGCUUCGACGGGUAGCCGGCCUGAGAGGGUGACCGGCCACACUGGGACUGAGACACGGCCCAGACUCCUACGGGAGGCAGCAGUGGGGAAUAUUGGACAAUGGGCGGAAGCCUGAUCCAGCAACGCCGCGUGAGGGAUGACGGCCUUCGGGUUGUAAACCUCUUUCAGCACAGACGAAGCGCAAGUGACGGUAUGUGCAGAAGAAGGACCGGCCAACUACGUGCCAGCAGCCGCGGUAAUACGUAGGGUCCGAGCGUUGUCCGGAAUUAUUGGGCGUAAAGGGCUCGUAGGCGGUUUGUCGCGUCGGGAGUGAAAACACCGGGCUUAACUCGGUGCUUGCUUUCGAUACGGGCAGACUAGAGGUAUUCAGGGGAGAACGGAAUUCCUGGUGUAGCGGUGAAAUGCGCAGAUAUCAGGAGGAACACCGGUGGCGAAGGCGGUUCUCUGGGAAUAUCCUGACGCUGAGGAGCGAAAGUGUGGGGAGCGAACAGGAUUAGAUACCCUGGUAGUCCACACCGUAAACGUUGGGCGCUAGGUGUGGGGUCCAUUCCACGGAUUCCGUGCCGCAGCUAACGCAUUAAGC